AAUUACCAAUCUCCCAGAUUUCACUUUCCCUUGGAUUCCUAAACUUUCUCAAUUUUCCUCUGAAAAUCUCCCUCCACGAACCUCUCUAUACUCUUAUAAUUCCUCCAAAGCUUUUUUUUUAAAAUCACGUGCUCAAUCUGAAGCUCAAGGUAAACUCUUCCUCGCUCUUUUGCUGCUUAAUAUUGAUCAGUUGUUUUCUCUUCGAUGCCAUAUAACUUAGUAUGUGAUUGUUUUGGAGUUAGAUUGAAACAAGUAGUUGGUAUUGCUAUUCUUAGUAGUACAGUAUUGGUAUUGUUGAAUAAUGGUUCCUCCAAGAAGAAAAAAAUGGACAGAGGCAGAAGAAAAAACCCUAAUAGAAAAAUACGGGGAGAUGGUUGCAGAUGGGACUCUAGUGAAAAUGAAAACCCGUGAGAAGAAAUAUAAACCGAUUGCUUUGUAUGUGAAUUCAGUGCACCACGUUCGUGAUCCUAUGGCCUUUCCUUGGCAAUGGACAUGGAAAGAUGUGUCCACGAAGGUGCAAAAUAUGAGGCACCAGUAUUUGUUAGUUAAGCAAAAGAUAAAGAAACCGGAAUUGUCUGUUGAUCAUUCUGUUGGUGGGGAAAGUAAUGGGGAUGAGUUUGAUUGGGUUGAGGGGCUUACCCAUUGGUCAAAUUUUUUGAGGUAUAAGGAGGUUUUUGGAGAUGUUGCAUCAUAUAAUAAUAAUAUCAAUAAUGGUGGUGACUUAUUGGCAGUUGUUAAUGAGGACCGCGAGAAUGGUGGAGGGUUUGUGGGGGUAGGUAAUGGGAUGGAUAUUGUGGAAUUUGGGCAAAUGGGUCAUUCAGGAGAUGGGGAAUUUGCGGGGAUUGAUGCGGGAGAGAACGGGGUGAUGGGUUUGGGUUUUGAGUAUGAUGGUGAUGAGGCAGAAGAGAAUUUUAAUGGUAAUAGUGAAAGGGUGAGGGAAGAUGGGGAUAAUGCUAUUGCAUUUGAAGAAAUUGAGGUGAAUGGAUCUAAUUUGAAUAAGAAGAGGAAGUUGUUGAAGGGCUUGGAGAAGAAGACAUUUGGAUUUCUCACAAGCCAAUUGGGGCAGUUGAGGGAUAUGGAGGUUCGAUUUGAGCAUCGUGAGGCAGAAAGAGAGCGUGAGAGGCAGAGGAGGGAAAAUUUUCGGAUAAAGGCUGAGCAGGAAUGGGAACGGAAGUGGGAAGAGAGGGUGAAGGUGAGGGAGGAGAGAGAGAAGACUAGGGAGAAGUUGAGGCAGCAGAGGAUCCAGGAAUGGGAAGCUAUAGAGAAGGAGACUGAAGAGAGGGAAAGGAGAAGGAGAGAUGAAGACUUGAUUCAGGAGAGCGAGUGGGAAGAUAGGAUUAAUAGAAGGAGGUCUGAAUGGAAGAAGAGGAUUGACGAGAUGUUGAGUCAGCACAGGGCAGAAAUGGGUCAGAUGCAGGCCCGCAUUCUUCAUGAACAACAAAGCCUCACUAGCCAGUUGCUUGGGAUUGUUUCCCAGUGGACUGGUCAUCCAACAGGGCUUUCUGACCAUACCGGUGCCAGCAAUCAUUACCUUUCACAAAUGAUGCAGAAUCUGCACCAUGUGAAUGGAAUGGUUCAUGGAGACACUAGGGUUGAUGGAGAUAAUCAAGAUGAUCAAUUCAUUGUUGAUGGAUGAUCUUAUUUCUGCAACAGUUUCACCUGCUUGAUUAGCUGAAAAAUGGUAAGUUGUGCCGGAGUGUUUGCAGUGAUCUGAAGAACUGCAAAGGCACCUCAUCCUCGACCCAGCACACUAGGAAAAAAUCAAAUAUGUCGGAUGGCCUCAUUAAGUUAGUAAGAGUCAAAUGAAUCUUGCCAUUCACUUGUAGCAAUGGCUUGAGAUUAUGUACUUUAUGAAGAAUGAAUGUCUCUCUGUGGGACGACCUACAAUUUUCUGAUUGAUAGGAAGUUUGAGUUAUUUUUGUAGCAUUAUGUUAGCCCUUCAAGGUGUAUGUGAGGAGAAAGGAAAGAGAGCAGCACGUGGCAUGGAAAAUUUGUUCAAGGUUGUAAAGGUUUUGGAGCAACAUGGUAGCAAAACAUUGGAAGAAAAAGAGAAGGAAUGAGAAGCGGAUUUAUGCUAGGGCUUGAGGGGAAUGAGGGUAGGUUUGUAUUUGUAUCAAGAAAACUGGGAGGGACUAGCUCCUUGACCCGCAGGAUAUUGUUCAUGUUACUAUUUCAGUCAGUUGCAUAUGUUGUUCGGGUUAAUGCAGUGGAAGUAAUUGUAGGGAUUCCUGCCAUGGAUAAAUAAAACUGUUUCUGGUGUA